GCUCCGUUGGUGAACCAGCGGAGGGAUCAUUACCGAGUUUACAACCCCCAAACCCCUGUGAACUUAUACCUUUACUGUUGCUUCGGCGGGUCAUUGCCCCGGGGAAACAGGCGGCCGUCAGGUCCCUGCCCACCCGGAAACAGGCGCCCGCCGGGGGACUCAAACUCUUCUGUAUUUUUUUGUUUACUGUAUACUGUCUGAGUAAAAAUUCAUAAUGAAUCAAAACUUUCAACAACGGAUCUCUUGGUUCUG
rnacentral:misc_RNA from 1 species